GCUGGGUGAGGUGGCUCAUGCCUGUGAUCCCAGCAACCCAGGAGGCUGAAACAGGAGGGUCACAAGUUCAAAAGCCAGCCUCUACCACUGAGCUGCAUCCCCAUCCCUAGUUUUAUUUUCUAUUUUGAGACAGAAUCUCAUUAAAUUGCUGAGGGCCUUGUAUAAUUGUUGAGGCUGGCUUUUGAACUUGUGACCCUCCUGUUUCAG
rnacentral:sRNA from 1 species